AUAUGCAAUAAAUACUAGCGAUGUAGACUGGUAUUACCAGACGCUAGAGAUUGCCAUUCGAUUGAGUUUUCUGGCAUAUUUCGACGAACAUUACUGAUUAGAAAUUACAGUAAAAUCAGAAACGACUGAAUGUCAAUCAGUUUAUAUACAUUCAUAUUAGUAAUAAUAAUAAUAUUACAUUAUUAUAUGCGCUGCUACCCAUUUGAUUCAAUAUUAGCGACUUAGCUCCUUUAAUUACUGUACCCUCUUAUACCUUUAGGUCACAUUAAUUUCAUGAAACAUUAAUUCCUUGUUUAAAAGUACAAUGAUUCAUAUUCCUGCUAUGCGCUUUAUAAUGUUCUUAUCUGUUAUGUACCGAGUUGCUAUGAAAACUAGAAAAUCAUUAAAAUUAUGAUUGAUGGGCUGAGUUGAUAUGACAAACAGAAACUCAUUUAAAUUAUGACAAUUAAAUUAUAUGUUCAUUGCACAAAGUUAAUAAAAUAAGGAAAAACGGAAAAGAAAGAACUAAAAAUUGUAUUGUAAUAAUUGAGUUGUGUAUUUGUUGAACAAAAAUAAUUAAAAAAAAUAAAAUAAAAUAAUUACUAAUUAGAGUUGUGGAAGCCAAGUGUAGGAAUGCUUCUUUAGGUUUUAAGAAUUUCAAACAUGUUAUGGAAGCCAAGUAUAGGAAUGCUUCUUUAGGUUAUAAGAAUUUCCAACAUUACUAUUGAAGCCAAGUGUAGGAAUGCUUCUUUAGGUUUUAAAAAUUUCAAACAUUAUUAUGGAAGUCUAGUGUAGGAAUGCUUCUUUAGGUUUUACAAAUUUCAAACACUAUUAUGGAAGCCGAGUGUAGGAAUGCUUCUUUUGGUUUUAGAAAUUUCAAACAUUAUUAUGGAAGCCAAGUGUAGGAAGGCUUCUUUAGGUUUUAGAAAUUCCAAACAUUACUAUGGAAGCCAAGUGAAGGAAUGCUUCUUUAGAGAAAAGGAAAAAUUCUAACUCCAUCUGUUUUGUGAGUGUAAAUGGUUAUGAUAAAAUACAGAUGAGUGAUUCUAGUAAGCACAAACAAUGCAAUUAUUUGAUGUUUUAUUUGUAUGUAUGUAUUUAUAUUUUCAAAUCUUCAUUGUUAAUGUGGUGUUUAUAUUUAUCCUGGAAAAAUUCCCCCCAUUUUCUAAUCUUUUUUUUAUGGGAGUAUUUAAUCAUGGUUGUUCUCAUUAUUAAUAUUUUUUUAUUAUAUUAAGUAUAUUUAACUAUUUCUAAUUAUUCUCUAUUAUUAGGGUAGGAUAUAAGUCAUUUGGCCCCUUGUACCCUUGGGGCUCCAUGCUAGGGUAAUCUACUUGAGUCUUCUUAAGUAAAACUAUGUUUGUUGUCAUUUUUAAUAAAUAAAUUCUCUAAAGACACCUUGGCUGUAAACCUAGGCGCUUACCAAAAAUGUUCCCAGCUGUGUCUUGCAGCUUCAAAGACUGACCCUGUCUGUUUUUGGUCAGUUUUAAUAAAUUAUUUCAAUACAGCAGACCUUGGCCGUGAAACUAGGGGCUUACAAAAAAUGUUUCCUGCUGUGUCCAAAUCCUUACCGUUCCAUUUCUGCAGCCCCAAAUUAAUGAUUUGAAAAAUGGCUAACGUUUGUUGUCAUCCCUUACCACUUGAUUGAAAUGGGGUUAAAAGUUCUAUGACUGCUGUAGCCCAUAUUUUAUGGUUUGAAGAAUGGCUAACUAAUAUAUCCCUUACUGCUUGACUGAAAUGUGGUUUAAACUUUAAAAGUCCUACAACUAUUGCAGUUCCAACUUAAUGGCAUGUCUUGUAAGUUUUAUUACAUAUUUUUGUAAUGGCCUGUAUCUAUUGUACAACGAUAUUAAUUACAUGUAUUAUUGUGUACUUAAUAAGUGAUAUAUAUAUAUAUAUAUAAAAAUAUCAAAUAUUAAAUUUUGUGCAUGUUUUGUAGAAUUAUCGCUCAUAUAAUAUGUUCCGAGCUCUUACUAUACAUCCACUUGCACUGAGAAGUGUUGUUAACUUUCUAAAUACAUGGGCAAUAGAACCAAUGCUCAACUUUCUCAAAGUCACAUUAAAACUAUUGUUCUUUUAAAGAUGCAUUAUGUAAGAUUUAGAUAAAAAGCUGGUCAUUCUUGCUAUAAUUGUUUAAAAAUAGAUAAUGGAAAAUGAAUAUAUUGAAAAUUUCAUUCAAAUUACUUUAUUCUGAGAAUUUUUGACUGUUUGAAGAUGUAGCGUAGAUAGUUUAAUAUCGCAGCAACGGUACUUGACAACAGAGACUAUGUCUAGAUUAUCCAUUUUAUCAUUAAAAUUCUAUCUCAGCAUGUUCAAAUCCAUUUAAAUCUCAGUCAUUCGAUGGUCUAGAGAGUUAGUGGCUUGUCAUAUUAAUAAAUGUCUAAAUAAUAGUUUAGGUAACAUUUGAAGCCAAAAUAAAGACCUGCAAUAGACAAAUUUAGCUCUUACAUAAUGUAUGUUUAAAUUAUAAAACUAUCCUCCUUCAUGGGAUUUCAUCAUUUAAAUUUACUACUUGUUUUUUGGACAUUAUUAUCCAGUCUUUAUUUUCAUUAGUCUUGAUCACUCAGGUCCAAAUUGUUUCUGCUCAGCUACAACAAAUACUCAUCUGGACAAUAUAUCAUUCAUUGUGGGUUUGUGCUGACUGAUUUUUGGGUACUGGUAUAUAAUGCAGCAUACCAUUACUAAACUUAAGCUGCCUGUCUACCGUUAGCUCCGUAUAAAAUAGAUGGAUCUCUGCGUGCGGAAUGAUAAUACAGUUGGCAUAUUUAAUCAUUGCCCCUGCACUCCAGUUGUUAAUGGGGGUAUCAUUGCCCCUGUACUCAAAGUUUUAUUCAGGGUAUCAUUACACUGUAUCAGAUGUAUUCUGCCCAACCAAUCAUAAGAAACACUAAAUUUCUGUAUGACCUUUGACAUUGAAUAGAUAAUUCAUGUUAUUUUGUACAGACCAAUAUUCAUUGUACUUUUUUUUCAUAACUUUAUAUUUUGUACCCACCACUUCUUUUAAAACUUAUAAUGGGGGUAUCAUUGCUCUGCACCAUAUGCAUUCUGUAGGUGAAGGUCAUUUUCAUGACAACCAUCAUAAGAUAUAAGACACUGAAAAGACAAUUCACAUUAUUUUUUCCAGAUCAAUAUUCAUUUUACUUUUAGUGAUAACUUUUCAUUGUACCCACCCCUUUUUCUAAACUUCAUUUAUCGCCACAUGUUUGUUGUUUAAGAAAUCUCUUGUAAUUACCGUAUCUAUGACCAAUUUCAAGAGUUAUUAUAAUUUUUUUUAUUGAAUACAAUAUUUAAUUGUUAAGUGUAUAAAUUAUUUUUGUUGUAACUUGGUGAAACACACCACCACCCAGGAAGGUGAAAAAAAAUAUCUAUUAAAUUGUAAAUAUUAAUUAAUUAAUUAUUAUGAUUAUUUAAGAAUUAAAGUUGUCUUCAAAUUAC